UUAUAAAGUGCCAAAUCCAUUACUGUGGAAGGUAUGUAUGUAUCUUAUCCUCUCUCUCAAUUCUAUAUAGGAUGCAUGACUUUAAAAUAAAUGAUGAUGAUGAUAUUGUUUUAACAGGGACAUUAUAAUGCCACUGUGUUACCGAAAAAUGAGAUUCCAGAGUGGUUCCAGUAUCAUAAAGAAUUUUUAGAAAAUUAAAUUGCUAAGAGAGGGGAUGAUGAUGUCCAAUUGAAAGGAAAUGAAGAAUGGGUAAUAAAUAUUGAGGGGCCACACUAUUUGGAAGAUAUCAGCGGGAUUGUAAUAUAUGUCAUUACAUUUUUCAAUGAAGUUCUUUGUGAUGAGGAUUUUUCAUCGGAAGCUGAGCCUUUGACCAAUAUGAAGUAUGGAUGUGGUACUCUAAUUUAGAAUCAUUUGAGCCAAAGGUUUUGGACAAUUUGAGGGUACAACUUCGUAUUCCUCCCACUCCAAGUGAUUCUCUUCGGGAACCUUUUUCGGUAUGGUAUUAUGUAAGUAUGGGAGCCAAUGUUGUAUACAAGCAUGAAAACAGAGCACAUAAAAGAAGAAAAAUGGAUUGAAUUAAAUGAUAGCCCAAGUGGAAUUUCAGGUUGCAUUCUUAGUGAUCUUGAGAGCAAAAUACUCCUAGUGUGAGAGAAGGGUGAAACCAAGUGUUUGAGAGUGAGUUGAUUUGUUGGAGCAUCAAAAGCCAUGGUUUGAUAAAGACGUAGUUUCAAUAUGAGUUGUCCUAUGGUCACCAGCAGGUACUCACGGUGCAUAUAAGGGAGUUGUGACGAUACCAUAUGUUAUAUUCAUGAUGGAUUUCAUAACUAUGAAAUGUUAAGUUUUUAAAAAGAUGAAGUAAAAAAUAUUCUCUAAAAGAAAAUGUGCAUUAAAGUUUUUAUAAAAGAUGUUGAGGAAUCUGGAUGCAUGGGAAACAAAUACAAAUUUUUCUGCAUGCGUCUCAUGUUUAUCAUAAUCAUGUAUAUCUUAUCUCUGUGCAAGUUGGUUGUUUAACUUACUGGGAUUUCAAGAAAUCUCACUGUGGUAGUCCCACUAUCAUUCCUUUUGGAAUGGUAGAAGUUGUAUCAGGACUAGCAUACGACGAACAGGAUGAACCAUGGUUGAGGAUGAGCCCGAUCCUGAGUGGAGGCUGGAUUAGUGUUUAUAGCAAUGGCUCUAUACACCAUCGAGAGGAUGAGAGAAUUGAUUUGACUACGAACUUUGAUGCAAUAUCUGUAUUAAGGAGAUUCUAUCUCCCACUUUUUGUUUAAACAUGCAUUACUAUGUGGACCUCUUAAGUAAGAUAGUACCUAUUGUUGGUUAAUUCAUCUAUUGGGAUAUUUA